UACGGAGGGUGCGAGCGUUGUCCGGAAUCAUUGGGCGUAAAGGGCGCGUAGGUGGCCCGGUCAGUUCGUGGUGAAAGCGCGGGGCUCAACCCUGCGUCGGCCAUGAAUACUGCCGCGGCUGGAGCACUGUAGAGGCAGGCGGAAUUCCGGGUGUAGCGGUGGAAUGCGUAGAGAGUCCGGAAGAACACCGGUGGCGAAGGCGGCCUGCUGGGCAGUGCUGACACUGAGGCGCGACAGCGUGGGAGCAACAGG
rnacentral:rRNA from 1 species